rnacentral:rRNA from 1 species
ACAUGCAAGUCGAGGGGCAGCAUAGGACUUCGGUUCUGAUGGCGACCGGCGCACGGGUGAGUAACGCGUAUAGAAUCUACCUUUAACAGAGGGAUAGCCCUGGGAAACUGGGAUUAAUACCACAUAGUAUUGCAUAUUUUAUUUUUAUGCAAUUAAAGCUCCGGCGGUUAAAGAUGGGUGUGCGUUAGAUUAGCUAGUUGGUAAGGUAAUGGCUUACCAAGGCUACGAUCUAUAGGGGGCGUGAGAGCGUGGACCCCCACACGGGUACUGAGACACGGACCCGACUCCUACGGGAGGCAGCAGUAAGGAAUAUUGGACAAUGGGCGCAAGCCUGAUCCAGCCAUCCCGCGUGAAGGAUGACGGCCCUAUGGGUUGUAAACUUCUUUUAUUAGGGAAGAAACCUUUUCAUUUAUGAAGAGCUGACGGUACCUAAAGAAUAAGCACCGGCUAACUCCGUGCCAGCAGCCGCGGUAAUACGGAGGGUGCAAGCGUUAUCCGGAAUCACUGGGUUUAAAGGGUGCGUAGGCGGAUAAAUAAGUCAGAGGUGAAAGCUUUCCGCUUAACGGGAAAAUUGCCUUUGAAACUGUUUAUCUUGAAUUAUGUUGAGGUUAGCGGAAUGUGACAUGUAGCGGUGAAAUGCAUAGAUAUGU